UACGUAGGGUGCGAGCGUUGUCCGGAAUUAUUGGGCGUAAAGAGCUCGUAGGCGGUGUGUCACGUCGGCCGUGAAAACCUGGGGGCUUAACUCUGGGCGUGCGGUCGAUACGGGCAUCACUAGAGUUCGGCAGGGGGAGACUGGAAUUCCUGGUGUAGCGGUGAAAUGCGCAGAUAAUCAGGAGGAACACCGGUGGCGAAGGGCGGGGUCUCUGGGGCCGAUACUGACGUGAGGAGCGAAAGCAUGGGUAGCGAACAGG
rnacentral:rRNA from 1 species